CACUACAAACAAAAAUACUUCUUCUCUAAAACCCCAAAUGCUUCACAUCUUCUAUUAUUAAGCAGCUUUAAAUACAACACAUCAGUAAUCCAUGGGAACAUGAAAAUCUCCAGGUUUUAGUCGAAAUAGUUAAUCUGAAUACUGGACAAAAAGUUUGCCCCAAGAGAAAUGCCCCUUCUCUGCACAAAUUUCAGCAUAUGAACGGUACCCUUGCUGCUGUGCAGCCCUAGGGAAGGUGCUCAGCUCCUGCUAUCUCACAGGCUGGUUCUCCAGCUCAGGACCAUACAGCUGCACCAGCGUAAAGCUGUCACCAUGUGUCCACCAGCGAGGUGGGACUUACCGCCAUGGAUGCACUCAUAACAGCUUUGGGACUGGACUGAGAGCACAGGUAGGAUACUGUAAUUAUCUGUGUAGUUGUGCCCUGGAUGAAGAUGUGUUUCUUGAUCAGAAUGUCAGCAAAGCAUCUGCUGGGAAAGAAGACAACCUCGUAUGUCCCUACCCUCCAUCUGUUGGGAAGAAUGGAGUUUUCCAUAGCCCUGUUGGGAAUUUUGGAAGCCAGUGCUUUCAGCAACUUUUGUCUGAAGAGCAUGCUGGCAUUCUGUCCCAGCAAUCCAAACUCAGCAGAAGUACUGCGGUCAGCUCUUUCCUCCUGCUCUUGGCCACCCAGCGUGCAGACAGCUUUGCACAAAUGUGCUUGGAUAUGGGUGCCUCCUGGAAGAACUGGGUGGAUGCCGAUGACUCUUCCUGUGCGGCCAGCACUCUUGCAAUGGGGGGGCAUAUACCAAGGCUGUAGCCUCAACUGCACAUGGCGGGGGGGACAAGAAGUCCCCUCUAGAUAUUAUGCUGUUUUGUUAAAUGCUGCCAGCCUGGCAGACCCCACAGGCGCUCCUGAUGGCCAGCUCUGCUGUAAAGAGGAGUGAAAAUCUUCCCAAUGAACUCUUUGUCCACAGCUCAACCUGCCUGUUUAGGCCUGCCCUAAGGUUUUUUUCUGACCCAGUUCACAUUAGUUCUGUAGAAAUGUUUGGGCUGGGGUAGCUGAGGGGCAGCAUGGGAGCUAUAACAAGAUAGCAGUCAGCAGAGGGUGGAUUUCUACAAUUAUGUAGCACUAUCGCCACAUGUAGAAGAGUGGCCUCAUGAAUUGUGUGCUGGUGGUGUAGACUACAGACACAAAAUGGGUGUUCUUAUUCCUAAGCAAUUGUACCUUGAUCCAUUUGCAGCACAACUGUUUUGAAAUGCAGGUGGGAAACUGCAUA